GGGUCGAUGCCCGAGUGGUUAAUGGGGACGGACUGUAACCCUGUCAAGGCGGAUGUUACGGGUUCGAGCCCCGUCAGUCCC
rnacentral:tRNA from 1 species